rnacentral:rRNA from 1 species
GAUGAACGCUGGCGGCGUGCUUAACACAUGCAAGUCGAACGAUGAAGCCCAGCUUGCUGGGUGGAUUAGUGGCGAACGGGUGAGUAACACGUGAGUAACCUGCCCUUAACUCUGGGAUAAGCCUGGGAAACUGGGUCUAAUACCGGAUAGGAGCGUCCACCGCAUGGAGGGUGUUGGAAAGAUUUAUCGGUUUUGGAUGGACUCGCGGCCUAUCAGCUUGUUGGUGAGGUAAUGGCUCACCAAGGCGACGACGGGUAGCCGGCCUGAGAGGGUGACCGGCCACACUGGGACUGAGACACGGCCCAGACUCCUACGGGAGGCAGCAGUGGGGAAUAUUGCACAAUGGGCGCAAGCCUGAUGCAGCGACGCCGCGUGAGGGAUGACGGCCUUCGGGUUGUAAACCUCUUUCAGUAGGGAAGAAGCGAAAGUGACGGUACCUGCAGAAGAAGCACCGGCUAACUACGUG